CCUACGGGAGGCAGCAGUGAGGAAUAUUGGUCAAUGGACGAGAGUCUGAACCAGCCAAGUAGCGUGAAGGAUGACUGCCCUAUGGGUUGUAAACUUCUUUUAUAAAGGAAUAAAACGAGGCACGUGUGCCUUUUUGCAUGUACUUUAUGAAUAAGGAUCGGCUAACUCCGUGCCAGCAGCCGCGGUAAUACGGAGGAGCCGAGCGUUAUCCGGAUUUAUUGGGUUUAAAGGGAGCGUAGAUGGGUUGUUAAGUCAGUUGUGAAAGUUUGCGGCUCAACCGUAAAACGGCCAUUGAUACUGGCAGUCUUGAGUGCGGUUGAGGUAAGCGGAAUUCGUGGUGUAGCGGUGAAAUGCUUAGAUAUCACGAAGAACCCCGAUUGCGAAGGCAGCUUACUAAACUGUUACUGACAUUGAGGCUCGAAAGUGUGGGUAUCGAACAGGAUUAGAUACCCCAGUAGUC
rnacentral:rRNA from 1 species